GACGAACGCUGGCGGCGUGCCUAACACAUGCAAGUCGAACGGAGAUUAUUAAUGAAGCUUGCGAUUUAAUAAUCUUAGUGGCGGACGGGUGAGUAACGCGUGGGUAAUCUACCUAUCAGUGGGGAAUAACAGUUGGAAACGACUGCUAAUACCGCAUAACCUGCUACGGCAGCAAAGAUGGCCUCUGAAAAUGCUGUCGCUGAUAGAUGAGCCCGCGUCUGAUUAGCUAGUUGGUGGGGUAAAGGCCUACCAAGGCGACGAUCAGUAGCCGGCCUGAGAGGGUGAACGGCCACACUGGGACUGAGACACGGCCCAGACUCCUACGGGAGGCAGCAGUGGGGAAUAUUGCGCAAUGGGGAAACCCUGACGCAGCGACGCCGCGUGAGCGAUGAAGGCCUUAGGGUUGUAAAGCUCUGUUUUAGGGGACGAAUGUCUAGACGAGUAAUAUGCGUUUAGAAUGACGGUACCCUAAGAGGAAGCCCCGGCUAACUACGUGCC
rnacentral:rRNA from 1 species